rnacentral:lncRNA from 1 species
CUCAUCUCACCACACCCACUGACUACCAGAUCUCAGAGGUUACCCAGAGUCCACACUUGUCACACGUCUGCCAGGCUCUGCUUAGGCGACCUGGUACUAAAAGGCAGGGUUUGGCCCCCAGCGUCAAGGGAAGAAUCCGAGACCCAAUCUCUGGUCCUGCCUCUGCCUGUUUCUCUGUUUGGCUUUGGCCGGUUACUUGCCAUCUCUGGACCUCAGUUUUCUCACCUGUAAAAUAAGGCUAAGAAUUGAUCCACACAGAUGUGAGAACACUCUGGAGAGAUGGCAAGGGCUGGGUGUCUUUCCUGGUUCCCUAGGGGUGACCCAGACACCAAAGACCCUGCUCCAAGCUGACUUUCCAUAGCUAUAGGCCCCCAAGGGUCUCUCAGGCCAUGUUGCAGGGACAGAAACCCUAUUCCUACCCCACCCCAUCUGUCCUCCUACAUCCCUUCACCCUGUAACCUCUUCUCUAUCCAGAUUCUGGCUCUCCGUCUCUUUCUUCUUCGUUACCCUGACACUCCCCAAGUGCUAGGCUCAGCCCCUCAAAUCCCUCAUCACCCUUAAAAGAUUAAAACUUGUACCCCUUCUGGCUUGGGACAGCCUGAGCCUGGGUCAGAAGUUUGGCCUUGGGCCUCUGCUCUGAGACAUUCCCUAUCCCUUGGGCAGCUCUGGGACCCCUGGGACUGACUGAGGGCCAUGGAGGCUAGUGAGACCCCUUCCUGGGAUGCACUGUGGAAGCACCUCUGUUUGCUGAUUACGAGGACUUCACCCUCCACUCCACAACCUGAAGAUAGCAAUAAAGCCUCCUGCACAAUAAAGAGCCACAAGGAGCAGGAGCGAAUGGGCAGAGCGGGCACUGGAGACCGUCAGGAGAGCUUCCAGGAUUGGAUACAGAAGGCCCGAGUUCUGGUCCUGCCUCUGCCAUCUCUAACUUGCUGUGUGAUCGGGGAAGUCUUGGCUCCUCUCUGGACCUCAGUUUGCACAUGUGCUGGAUAAGACCAUUCCUGAUGUCCCCUUGGCUCUCUUAUCUAAUCCCAUAAGCUCGUUGAGCCUUUUGUCUGGGCCCAGCCCUUUCUGAACAUUAAAUUUGGCCUCGAGUGUCUGAUGGUCGGGUACUCCACUCCCACCCUUCACCUCUGCUUCCGUAUAAACCAGGAAGGGAAGAAUGACCUGCCUUGAGCUGGUCCUGGGGUUCCCCUCCCACCCUGGGGUUCCCCUCCCCUGGGGUCCCCUGGUCCCCCUUGCUUAGUCUCUGAGUCCUCAGC